rnacentral:tRNA from 1 species
CGGAUGUAGCCAAGUGGAUCAA